rnacentral:rRNA from 1 species
GGGGGGGGGGGGGGGGGGGGGGGGGGGGGGCGGGGCGGGGGGGGGGGGGGGGCGUGGGUGGGGGGCGCGGGUGGCGGACGGGGGAGUGACACGUGAGUAACCUGCCCUUGACUUUGGGAUAACUUCAGGAAACGGGGGCUAAUACCGGAUAGGAGCUCCUGCUGCAUGGUGGGGGUUGGAAAGUUUCGGCGGUUGGGGAUGGACUCGCGGCUUAUCAGCUUGUUGGUGGGGUAGUGGCUUACCAAGGCUUUGACGGGUAGCCGGCCUGAGAGGGUGGCCGGCCACAUUGGGACUGAGAUACGGCCCAGACUCCUACGGGAGGCAGCAGUGGGGAAUAUUGCACAAUGGGCGGAAGCCUGAUGCAGCAACGCCGCGUGCGGGAUGACGGCCUUCGGGUUGUAAACCGCUUUCGCCUGUGACGAAGCGUGAGUGACGGUAAUGGGUAAAGAAGCACCGGCUAACUACGUG